rnacentral:rRNA from 1 species
UACGGAGGGUGCAAGCGUUAAUCGGAAUUACUGGGCGUAAAGCGCACGCAGGCGGUCUGUCAAGUCGGAUGUGAAAUCCCCGGGCUUAACCUGGGAACUGCAUUCGAAACUGGCAGGCUAGAGUCUUGUAGAGGGGGGUAGAAUUCCAGGUGUAGCGGUGAAAUGCGUAGAGAUCUGGAGGAAUACCGGUGGCGAAGGCGGCCCCCUGGACAAAGACUGACGCUCAGGUGCGAAAGCGUGGGGAG